GCAGCGGGCGCUGAUUGCGGCUGACAGCGGCUCAGCGCUCGCCGGGUGCGUGCCGCCCUUUCCGAGGGGGGCUGCGGGGCUGGCAGGCGGGCGACAGACACAGACACCCCCCCCCCGCCUUUUCGCUUCGGUCAGGGGGUGUCCCCGAGGUUGAAGGCGGAGGGAGAGGGGGAAAGGUGGACGACCCCAGCCCCGCUGCUGCUGACCUGUGGGGCCUGAUCCUGCUGCUCCCCUCUGCGCCAUGAUCAUCCGCCCCAGACGCUUAACCCCGGGGUAUUUCCGUCUGCUCCAGAUGCAGCUGGCGGCAGGGCGGGGGGCUGAGCCGGGGGGGCGGCUGCUGACCCCCCUGGCCCUGCUGCUGGCGGCCGCCGGGCUCUGCCUCUCCUUCUACAGCGCCCGCAGAAUGGCCAGCCCCACCCAAGCCCCCCCAAAACCGUGAGGAAGAGGCUGGUGGAGGGGGCCCCAGGGAUGGUCCCCAAAGGGAUGUGGGGGUCCCCCUCUGCCCGCUGGCCCCCGCCUGAAGGGAGCUGCCAGCUGCGGAUCCUUUCCAGCUGAUCUGCGUCACAUCCAGCCCUUCCCUCCGCUCCUGGGCGGUGCGACGCCCUGGGGCUGGGGGGCACCCGCCUCUCUGUCCCCCUGUCUGUCCCCGCUUUUGGGAGACGGUUCAACAACCGCAGAACGGAGGAGCCACCUCCCGGCUCCAGAGCUGCCGGCGAAGCCACCACGAUCCAGCCACAAAACAACAAGAAGCUGAACGGACAGACAGACCCCAUUCAUCUCCAUCUUCCCAGGCAAGCAGAGCGGCCUGGGGGGGGGGCCCCCCCUUGUACCCCACUGGUGGCCACGCAGCCCGCCCCCUCCCCCUCCCCCUCCCCACGCAGACCAUGCUGCAGCCCCACACAAAGGAGGUCAGCGCCGAGCGCUGUUAGGUAACGCCGAGGGGAAGGCUGGGGCCCAAGUGGCCUCAGUAACAACAGGGCUGGGGGGACACGGGGUCGGCGACGUGUCCCCUGGGCAGGCGCAUCCCGUGGGGAUGGGGUCUGCAACCUCUGCAGCCCCCUCGCACCCACUAAACCCCCACUCCUAGGGCUGGGCGGGGGGGUUAAAUCCGGGCAGGCGGUGUGGAAAUAAAUCCUUCCCUGCUGAGCA